CCCUUAGAUGUCCUGGGCCGCACGCGCGUUACACUGAUGCAUUCAACGAGCUUAUAACCUUGGCCGAGAGGCCUGGGCAAUCUUGCUAACGUGCAUCGUGAUAGGGAUAGAUUAUUGAAAUUAUUAAUCUUGAACGAGGAAUUCCUAGUAAACGCAGAUCAUCAAUCUGCAUUGAUUACGUCCCUGCCCUUUGUACACACCGCCCGUCGCACCUACCGAUUGGAUGGUCCGGUGAAGCCUCGGGAUUGUGGUUCUUGCCGCUUUAUUGUAGCGUGACCGCGAGAACUUGUCUAAACCUUAUCAUCUAGAGGAAGGUGAAGUCGUAACA
rnacentral:rRNA from 1 species